AGUGAACGCUGGCGGCAGGCCUAAUACAUGCAAGUCGAACGGCAGCACAGCAGAGCUUGCUCUGUGGGUGGCGAGUGGCGGACGGGUGAGGAAUACGUGGGAAUCUGCCCAGUCGUGGGGGAUAACGUAGGGAAACUUACGCUAAUACCGCAUGCGCCCUUCGGGGGAAAGCCGGGGACCUUCGGGCCUGGCGCGAUUGGAUGAGCCCACGUCGGAUUAGCUAGUUGGCGGGGUAAAGGCCCACCAAGGCGACGACCGGUAGCUGGUCUGAGGAGAGAGACAGCCACACUGGAACUGAGACACAGUCCAGACUCCUACGGGAGGCAGCAGUAGGGAAUAUUGGACAAUGGGCGCAAGCCUGAUCCAGCCAUGCCGCGUGAGUGAAGAAGGCCCUCGGGUUGUAAAGCUCUUUUGUCCGGAAAGAAAAGCGCCGGGUUAAUACCCUGGUGUCCUGACGGUACCGGAAGAAUAAGCACCGGCUAACUUCGUGCCAGCCGCCGCGGUAACAC
rnacentral:rRNA from 1 species